AGGACCAAUCAGCGCGCAGCUUGGAGCUGCUCUGAGUUCAAAUCUCAUGGUUUUAAACUCGCGGAGAUUAAUUUAGUUAACCGCCAAUAAAUCGAUAGAAGAAGAAGAAGGAUUAAUUUCUCACCGAUUUUAUGUUUAAAAUUCUAGACUGAGAUUCAGAUUGUGCAGCCGGUCGGGUGUGUGUGUGUGUGUGUGUGUUUAUUCCCAGAGGAGGAGCGGCAGGAACGGCGCAGUGUAAAUACACGCGUGUGUGAGGUUUCAGACUGAAGAUAAAUUUAACUGAAAACUGGGGGUUUUGUGAAGAUCAGUGUGGAGUUAAACAUCAUGCCUCAUUUCCCACCGCGGGGGAGCCAUGGGUCUAAAGCUCAGAGCAGAGGGCAUGGACCUGAGAACCAGGAAGAUGUUCAUCAUGUUAAAAGAACUCCAUCCUCUCCAGAUGGUGCUCCCAAGAAGAGAUCAGCUUUUGUUGACCUUACAAAUACCAAGAAAGUCCAGAAUGACGCCCAGGUCAAGAACAGCAAACCGGUCAAAAAGGCACAGACGAGUAAAGUGGCUAUAACAGCAAACAGUGGCCUGAAAGUGUCUAAACACCUGUCGUCUGAGGAGCAGUGCAGAAGAGCUGACGAUCAGGUGGCUCAGGUGGAGGAGUUGACUCUGACAGACACUGGUGUGUCUUUUCUUACGGACCAGCCUGCAGUCCAACCACAAAAGAUACCAGAAGAAUUUGAUGUUGAGGAACAAGCUGGUGACUGUUUGAUGAACCCGGAGUACGCGAGAGACAUUUUUGACUACCUCAGGAAUAGAGAGAAGAAAUUUGUCUUGACUGAUUACAUGCACACUCAGCCAGACCUGAAUGGGAAUAUGAGAGGAAUUUUAAUUGACUGGAUGGUGGAAGUUCAGGAAAACUUUGAGCUGAAUCAUGAAACCCUGUACCUGGCCGUGAAGUUGACUGAUCACUACCUGUCCAUCACCUCGGUGAGGAGAGAAUCCCUGCAGCUCAUUGGCUCCGCGGCUCUGCUCAUCGCUGCCAAGUUUGAAGAACGGUGUCCUCCUACUGUUGAUGACUUCCUGUACAUUUGUGACGACGCCUACCAGAGACUGGAAUUCCUUGUUAUGGAAAGGAACAUCCUCCAAGGACUUGACUUUGAUAUUAAUAUCCCUGUGCCUUACAGGUUCCUCAGGCGUUAUGCAAAGGUGGCCCAUGCUAGCAUGGAGACGCUAACUUUAGCACGCUAUAUAUGUGAACUGAGCCUGUUGGAAGUGGAGCUUGUGCCAGAGCCAGCGUCGUACUUGGCGUCCGCCUGCCUCCUCCUCGCCCUCAUCACCCACGGCCUGGGAGGAUGGACGGCGGUGCUGCAGUACCACAGCGGUUACACGCUGUGUGAACUCGGCCCCCUGGUGAGGAGACUGUAUGCCAUGCUGGCCAGGCCUACAGAUGAGAACCUCAGAGCCGUGAAGAACAAGUACUCUCACAAAGUCUUCUUUGAAGUUGGAGAAACUGCACUGGUUUCCACGGAGAUGUUGGAGGAGGCGCUAUCUGAACCGGACUUUACUCUGUCUUAAAGAACGUGGACAGAACUGGAACUCUGUUUAUUCUUCACCUCCACUCCCCCCCGCCGCCUCCACCAGUUCACCAUCGCUCAGGAUCACAUCCCUAACGCACAAGUUCCAGCUGAUUUGAACUAAAAGGUAAAACUCCGCUGACGUAGUAAGCGAUGGCCAGCGAGAGCAGUGCGAUGAAGAGCAGGAGCAACAGAACCCUCCAGAAGCCGAGAUCCUCUACAAACUCCUGCCACGUGGUCUGAAAGCUGGAGAACACGCCCUCGCUGCGGUGGAGCUGAGGGUUGAGGAGUGAAUGACUCUCCAUGGCACUAUGCAAGAGGAACAAUGGCUGGAGUGAAAGCUGCGGUUGAAGCCCUUCAUCUCCUGCUCUUCCAGUCCCUCGAGCAGACGAAGAGCGUCUCUGUUCACACCGCGCCGCUUUGCCAGGACCAGAGGAGUGGCUCCGUUAUGGUUACUGUAAAACAAAACAAAACCAAAAAAACCCACACAACACAGAGGAACUUUAUCAGAAUAAAAACUUUUGAAGUAUCCGUACAAACAUGACGCCCCUCCCCCCAGCCAGCUCUGCCCCAUCACAACACGGGAGGGAGGAAUCCUGUGACGCACAUGAAGGCAGACAACCACACCUUUUCACCAAACUGCUGCGUCACAGGACGGUGUACCUCACUCAGGUGUACCUCACUCAGGUGUACCUCACUCCGCCCGCUGCUGAUUUUUUCCCACUCAUGAUUUACCUUUCAGAUAAUCUGAACUGAUAACAGACUGGAAAACCACACCCAGCGUUCCGACUGUUUCAGGUGUAAGGAGAGGAGCAGAGGAGUCUUAAUCCUGCUGCACAGUGGGUGCACCCCAAACCUGGUGACUACUCCCCGUGUUCCCAUGGCAACCAGCUGAGUAACAUGUACUAGUGUACUGAGGUUAUUGUGGAGCUCCUACACAAAAUGCAUAAAGAAUGGAAGGUCUGCUAAUCUAAUCUAAUCUAAUCUAAUCUAAUCUAAUCUAAUCUAAUCUAAUCAGAGUAAAUGUCACUGAUAUCUCAGGAGCGUAAUAUUGUUUUGAGACGAAUAAAUCAUAAUAAUCACAUUGGCCUAACUACACACGCUGUACUGUCCAUCCAUUAAUCCAGUAUCUACACUGUUUAUCCAUCAAGGUCGUAGGGAAACUGAAGCCAAUCCCAGCUGACUUCAGGUGAGGGGCAGAGUUCACCAAUCUAUCACAGAACUCACACAGAGACCAACAGCAAUCACACCUCUGAACAAUUUAGUGCAGCCAGUUGGCCUAAUCCACAUCUUUGGACUGUGGGAGGAAACCCACACAGACACGAGGAGAGAACAUGAGAAGUCCACACAGAAAGACCCCCGUCGACCACGAGAUUCAAACCUGGAAUAAAAUAACGAAAUGACUUUGGGACGAACAUUCACCCACCAGAUAUCGAUCUUGAGUCCAUUGGACACGAGGAACUGGAUGGUGUCCACGUGGCCACACAUGUGCAGUGCGGUGUUACCCUGAGCGUCAGUGGCCAGCAGGUCUGCACCAAACUUAUGUAGCAGGCGACAGAUCUCCACGUUCCCGCGUGCUGCAGCCAGGUGCAUCCCUGAGCGUCCCCGACAGUCACGCGUGUUCGGGUCGAAGCCGGUCUCCAGCAGGCGCUUAGUAUAGACCACAUCUCCAUCAAUGCAGGCCUGCAGCAGCGGCAGUGUGGCCUGCAGAGAGUCACUGGCGAACACGUACGACAUGCUGCUGCCAGGCGCACGUUCAACGUCCUACAAAACAAAGUAAAUUCUACAUGAGCGCGUCUGCAAAGUGGAGCACUGUGGAGAAAUGUAAUAUUCUGAUAUCAGAAGACAAUUUUGACAGCAAACAUCAGCUAUCAUAAUCAACCAAUCUAAUACACAUCAGAAGUUCAUCCUGGGGUUUAAUGAAUAUGCAAAUGAGCCUGUGACAUCAUCCGGCGACUUCUACCAACUCCUCGCGCUUCAGCUUGCAUUAUUAGCGACUUUCCCCUGAAGACUCCGUCACCAAAACACACAUUUCAUUUAAACAGUGUC